rnacentral:rRNA from 1 species
CGUUGAAGAAGAAGACGUUGAUAGGCCGGGUGUGUAAGCGCAGCGAUGCGUUGAGCUAACCGGUACUAAUGAACCGUGAGGCUUAACCUU